UUUUCCGCACUUGCUUUAUUUUAUUUAUUUUCCGCACUCGCUUUACUUUAUUUAUUUUCCGCACUCGCUUUACUUUAUUUACUUUCCGCACUCUCUUUACUUUAUUUAUUUUCCGCACUCGCUUUACUUUAUUUAUUAUCCGCACUCGCUUUACUUUAUUUAUUUUCUGCACUCGCUUUACUUUAUUUACUUUCCGCACUCGCUUUACUUUAU
rnacentral:lncRNA from 1 species